CGGGUCGUGUUGUCCGAAAUAUCAUUGCUUUAAGGAAAUCAAAUCACACAUUUAGCAUUCAAAGUAAACUGUGAGCAGUAUUGCUUGAGUGACAAUCAGCGCAGUUGAGUGCAGAUGUCCUACUGCAAGGAGCGGAGUGUAUGGAAGAGCAUGACAGGUUUACCUGAAACAAAAAUGCUGUAGAGAAUGUG